rnacentral:rRNA from 1 species
GACGAACGCUGGCGGCGUGCUUAACACAUGCAAGUCGAACGGAAAGGCCCUGCUUUUGUGGGGUGCUCGAGUGGCGAACGGGUGAGUAACACGUGAGUAACCUGCCCUUGACUUUGGGAUAACUUCAGGAAACUGGGGCUCAUACCGGAUAGGAGCUCCUGCUGCAUGGUGGUGAUUGGAAAGUUUCGGCGGUUGGGGAUGGACUCGCGGCUUAUCAGCUUGUUGGUGGAGUAGUGGCUUACCAAGGCUUUGACGGGUAGCCGGCCUGAGAGGGUGGACGGCCACAUUGGGACUGAGAUACGCCCCAGACGCCUACGGGAGGCAGCAGUGGGGAAUAUUGCACAAUGGGCGGAAGCCUGAUGCAGCAACGCCGCGUGCGGGAUGACGGCCUUUGGGUUGUAAACCGCUGUCGCCUGUGACGAAGCGUGAGUGACGGUAAUGGGUAAAGAAGCACCGGCUAACUACGUG